rnacentral:rRNA from 1 species
UACGUAGGGUGCGAGCGUUGUCCGGAAUUAUUGGGCGUAAAGAGCUCGUAGGCGGUUUGUCGCGUCUGCUGUGAAAACUCGGGGCUUAACCCCGGGCCUGCAGUGGGUACGGGCAGACUAGAGUGCGGUAGGGGAGACUGGAAUUCCUGGUGUAGCGGUGAAAUGCGUAGAGAUCAUGAGGAAGACCAGUGGCGAAGGCGGGUCUCUGGACAGUUCCUGACACUGAGACACGAAGGCCAGGGGAGCAAACGGG